CACACACUGAAAAAGGGAUCUGUACAAACACAUCUUUUUAUUUUUUUGCUCAUCUCUCUAUCUUCCUCACUAUAUAUACACAUUUUUCACUUUCUUGAUCUCUUUUUCUCUCUCUAUAUCUCAAGAAAAUUACUCUUAACUGGACCUUUUUUGACUCGAUCAAUAUUCAAGAAAGCUGCUUUUUGGGUGGUUUGAAAUUGGUUUGUGCUAACUCAAUUGAAAAAAAGUGGAGCUUUUGGGAGAAAGUUUGUAGCUUUGGGAUUUGUAUCAAGUUUUUGGAUUGACUCAGAUUUGAAUCUAUGCUAAAGAUCUUUUAAGCUGCAGAACAUGUGGUGGUUGUGAUACGGACA